GACGAACGCUGGCGACGUGCUUAACACAUGCAAGUCGAACGGAAAGGCCCUGCUUUUGUGGGGUGCUCGAGUGGCGAACGGGUGAGUAACACGUGAGUAACCUGCCCUUGACUUUGGGAUAACUUCAGGAAACUGGGGCUAAUACCGGAUAGGAGCUCCUGCUGCAUGGUGGGGGUUGGAAAGUUUCGGCGGUUGGGGAUGGACUCGCGGCUUAUCAGCUUGUUGGUGGGGUAGUGGCUUACCAAGGCUUUGACGGGUAGCCGGCCUGAGAGGGUGACCGGCCACAUUGGGACUGAGAUACGGCCCAGACUCCUACGGGAGGCAGCAGUGGGGAAUAUUGCACAAUGGGCGGAAGCCUGAUGCAGCAACGCCGCGUGCGGGAUGACGGCCCUCGGGUUGUAAACCGCUUUCGCCUGUGACGAAGCGUGAGUGACGGUAAUGGGUAAAGAAGCACCGGCUAACUACGUG
rnacentral:rRNA from 1 species